CGCCCCCGUCCGUUUGAAUCCUAACCGACGAUAACCUGUAACAACCUCCCUCGCUGUCAGAAUACACAACUGUCAGCACUGCACCCGUCCUUUGCAGUUGAUUAAGGAUACCACGAAGAAUCCUGAAGAGGUCAAAAAAACCUGUGGCGUCGGAAGACGAGAGAGAGGGGACUGAGGUGUGAAUGUUGUACUCGGAAGGCUUCUCUUUACGGAUGAAAAAGGAAAAAUAGUGGAACACGGCUGCCGAUUUGUUGGAGAUUUAACGGAGAACAACACCAAAAAGGAGAAGAAAAUGUAAGAAUAACAACAGCAGGAAAAUGGUUGAAAUCGAUGUGUCGACGAUGCCAGACGAUCCGCGAGCUACAGAGGAGUGCUUUGCCCAUGCUGGGAGGAAGGGGAAGACCACGUGUUGCAGGAACUGCCGCAGAACCCCCUCCUCACAAUCUCCCCCAUCCUCCUCUUCCUCCUGUUUCCAAGACAGCGAAGUUUAUAAUGACUUUAUCGGUUCAUAUUUUUAGAUCGAUUAAAGGCUGUGCACAUCAUGCUGUGUGUUCACUCCUUGCAAGAACCAUUCCCUUCAUUGUACCUUCCCUAUCGUGCUUGUUAAUUAGUUAGCUUAAUUAAGCCACUUGGGGCAGUGUGACUUCAGGGUGCACUAUAGACGUUCUUGGGGUAAUUUAGGUUUUGAUGUACCCACGAACCCAAUUUUUCCCCCUCUUGUCAGACACUGGCUUAUAAUGAUGAUAUUAUCAGUGAAUAUCAUCAGAUAACUCCAAGCCCUCUCUCUCUCUCUCUCUCUCUCUCUCUCUCUCUCUCUCUCUCUCACACACACACACACACACACACACACAUUCACAGAGAGACUAGUUUAUGGCUACCGAGGGUGAAGGCGAGGUCGUGGCUAGUGGAAGGUUAAAUGUCACGCUGGACAACUUUCUCCCCCCUUACAGCCUUUCCACAGUAUUCUUAUUUUGUCAUACUGAAUGUUAAAAUGUACCAGUUGAAUUUCUCUGUUUGUGCUGUUGCAAAAAUCCGUAAAAUAAUAAGAGAAAUUGGUUGCUAAUGUCUCGCACGUAGCAUGAUUGUUGUGUAGACAAAAAGAGAAUAACAGCACAGUGAUUGUGAGGGAAAAGAGCAGUUUUGCGGUGGUUUUGACUCGGGGGCGAUGCUGUGGAUUUAUCAGUUUGCAUCCAGAUGUGUGGUUUUCUGCUGUUGACGUAUUUCAAGCGUGUAGGUGGUAUGAGCCUGAAGAAAAGGGGCAGUGGUUUCAGCUGUUUAUUUUCCUCUGCUGAUUGCUAAUGGGCUGUUUCUUUGAUUGUACGAUGGUUGUGAAAUAAAAUGCCUCGAUUCUUCA